UUCUUUGUUAUGUACUAGCAGAGUAUUUUGAAUUAAACCAAUGUCUAAAUAAAUGCUUAGGAAAUAAAAGUUUUCGACUUCAAGUGUCUUGUGAAAGAAGCUGUUAUAAAAAUUAUUUUCCAAAAAACGAGCAUAUUCUAAAUUAUAGUCAAUGUUUACGAGUCUGCGAUACUUUAGAUAAGAAAUUCAAAGAUUCUUGUAAAGAAGCAUGUCAGUACUUUUUUGAAAAAACUGGAAAACAAUUGCUGUCAAUAGAACAAGCUACGACAGAAAAAGACAUACC